UACGAGGGGGGCAAGCGUUUGUCCGGAUUCACUGGGCGUAAAGGGUGCGUAGGUGGUGAGGUAAGUCGGAUGUGAAAGCUCGGAGCUCAACUCCGAAAUGGCAUUGGAAACUACCUUGCUCGAGGGUUGGAGGGGGGACUGGAAUACUUGGUGUAGCAGUGAAAUGCGUAGAUAUCAAGUGGAACACCAGUGGCGAAGGCGAGUCCCUGGACAACUCCUGACACUGAGGCACGAAAGCUAGGGGAGCAAACAGG
rnacentral:rRNA from 1 species